UUUUUUUAAAUAUUCAAUUGAAAAUGUGUGUAUGCAAGAUAAAUUUGUUAUUUUUACUGGUUGGAAACAGACUGUUCAUAUCAUAUUGUUUGGAAUUGGGUGGAUUUAUAAAAAAAAGUGAAAUCUACAUGAAUAUAUUAAGGUCCACCCACUCUGCGUCUGAUUCAAGAUUUGUUUUCUUGGAGAUGGAGAUGGAUGCUUAUCCGUUUCCCUCGUACAAAAUGAAACAAGGGUUCAUUUUCGUCCAUAAGAACCAGCAGACCCUUGCGAAGGUACGACCCUGCUGAACUGAGCUGCAACAGACACGACUGAAGGGGAAUCGAAGGUGUUCGAGGUGAAGCAGCAACGUAUGAUAUCUGCCGAAAUUCCACAGCAGCUGAACGAAGUGCAUACCUACUAUAAUUACAAAAUCCCCGAAACGGUUGAUGAAACCAUCAAUUAGCUGAAGAAAAAUUGAAUGCUUUUCCUCAGCUUUUCCAAGGACGUUCAACCACAACUGAAUUGUUUCGCAGACUCGGGAUCUCAAGACGACGACCGAUGUGGUCGACAGUCAGGAGGAGGAACGUCGUGCCGAGUUCUGCUAUCAACCAUGAACGAAGGAAGCAGUAUCACUCUAUUUCUUUACCAGAACCUGAAAAUGGCAACAGGCAUUCGAUUUUCGUUAUGCCUAUGGGAGAGAUCUUGAUCCGAUUGACGACCGACGUUUCAUUUCUAGAAGCGCCUAUCGGGGGAUCUAAAAAAUUCCAUUACUGUUUUGAGACGCGUUUACAAGGAGGCGGACUUCAUUGAUGCUGUUGCCGCUACAACUAACAAGCGGCCACCAUAAUGUCUGUCAAUAGCCGUUGAAGCUGUCGGAAAUCCGGGCAAGGUACUUUACUGAAAAUGAAGCUUCCCGUUUGUGUCCGCGGCAGGUUUCUCCUCCAAGACGACCACGAACGGCAUCGGCGCAACUUGCAGCGGUUUGUUGUUUUAAGGCCUACCCUUAUCGUGAAACCACCUACACCGUGAACAACAAAGGAUGAACUGAAAAUCUCACUGAAGGUCCUGAAAGCCAUUACCAAUGGAGAGGUCUCGCCAUGGACACGGUUAAAGUAUACGGA